rnacentral:misc_RNA from 1 species
CGCACAUUGCGCCCCUUGGUAUUCCAUUGGGCAUGCCUGUUCGAGCGUCAUGUACCUCUUCAAGCGCUGCUUGGUGUUGGGCGUCUGUCGUCGCAUUAUUUGCAAAGACUCACCCUAAAUUUAUUGGCAGCAACACCGCCGGCUCCUCGCGCAGCACCUUGCGCUCAGGGACUUUUGGUGGGGACGCGUCCAUUAAGACAGUCAUCAUUUUGACCUCGAAUCAGGUAGGGAUACCCGCUGAACUUAA